rnacentral:rRNA from 1 species
UACAGGGGGGGCAAGCGUUGUUCGGAAUUACUGGGCGUAAAGGGCUCGUAGGUGGCCAACUAAGUCAGACGUGAAAUCCCUCAGCUUAACUGGGGAACUGCGUCUGAUACUGGAUGGCUUGAGUUUGGGAGAGGGAUGCGGAAUUCCAGGUGUAGCGGUGAAAUGCGUAGAUAUCUGGAGGAACACCGGUGGCGAAGGCGGCAUCCUGGACCAAUACUGACACUGAGAAGCGAAAGCCAGGGGAGCAAACGGG